GGCCGGCGAUGCGUCCUGGUCG
rnacentral:siRNA from 1 species